rnacentral:lncRNA from 1 species
ACUUGGCUGAAGAUACUAAAGAGAACUAGAUGUUAUCUAGUGUUAUCCUGCUGAUCCCAAUUUCCUAUAGUUCUGGCACCAGAAAAUCCUGAAUGAUAGGUUUUUCUGAAGCUGCUGACAUCGGGUCAGCCCUCAACACCAUCACCUUUGGCCAUGUUCAGGAAGUACUCAAAGGUAACACUGGCAGCCAAGAGCAGGCCAAUCAAUGUCUGGCCACCACCCUAAUCCCACCUGGACAGUCACACCCCACCUCCCUAUGUGUGUUCGCACAGUGGGGGUGAUAUCAUGUGGGUCUGGCCUGUCCUGAGCAGAACCUGGUGUUGGGUUGUCAGAAACCCAGUGACCCAUCACGUUCACUCUUCAGAUCAUGGCUCAAAAGUCUGCAGAGCAGAGACAAGAGAUUGACAAAGAGGUGUUGAUGAGUGAGAUGUUACUGUUCUGCUCUGGAGAAGAUACUGUCAGAUAAUGUCCCGCAUUUCCAUCAGCUGGCAUGCAUGCCUUUGGACUCGGACAGGGUUCUUUGGAUUGUAGCUGAAUUUUCAAUGUUUAGUCAAUAUGGAUCUGAUCUCCGCAUGAUCUUUUUUGUGAAUGCCAACACCAUUUUGUAACUUUUUUCCAUUCUAAACAUUUUUCUUUUCACUGCCAACCCUCUGCCUUGUGAUUUUAUUGGAAAUCAAGGACCUGCUAUUAUUUGUUAAUUUGCCAUCAUUUAUGUGUAUAUUGAAAGGUACGAAACCCACAAGCACAAUGAUCAUUUUUAUUUGUUUGAAACUUCAGCAGAAUAGAUAUCUGCAUGCUUUAUGAAGUUGCUUCGAUAGCAGCCCCUGGGAUGCCAGAAAUUAGCAUUUCUUUGCUGCCAUGGGCUGAUGAUACUGCUGCUAUUAGAGAAAGUUUAGCUGUGGCACCAACUCACAGCAUUUUCAUAGAAAAAGAUUACUUGUAGCUUAUUUUAGAAGUAGGAACAUUUGGUCUAUUCGACUAGACUUGCAAUUUUAAAAAAAAAAGGUUGCAUUCAUUAAAGAAAAAAUGAAUUUAAGGUAAAAUGACAAAACCUGAUCUUUAACAUCCUGAAGGAUCUGAUACAUUAUUUUCCCUCCAACUCCAUCCCAGGCCUGGUGGUAGAACUGCUAUUUUUCCUUCUUACCUUUUAGAAAAGUAUGCAUCUAGAUUUUAUUCAAAAAUAGAAGAAACAACAGUAGAAUCAUAUAAAUAGCAAAAAUUUGAAACUCAAAAUAUUAAGCGUAAGUUACAAAAAAACAUAUAAACAACAGAAUAUGUGGGAUAAAUACCAAUUUUGAUACAAUUAGUCUGGAUUAAAAGGCUGAAAGUUCAGGUGAAGGAGCAGAGAAUGCUCCUUCAAAACCAAAAGAGAGAAAAUCUUCGUAUAAGAAGCAUGAACAUAGGAUCUACACAUCAGAAAAUUUAUAGAAGGACAGAAUUAUUUUUAAAUAAUCAAAAACUAGUCUCAUUAAAAUAAAGUAUAAUCAUCAAGGACAAAAAGAAAAUUCUACAACUUGAAAAUGGGAAAAAAAUGAAGAUUAAUUCAAAACAAAAAAUGGCGUGAACUAUGACUUUCUUCUCACUUUCUUCAUUGAUCAUCACUUAAAGCUUCUUUACUUCAUUAAACUUUUCUUACACUGCUGUGCCCAGUUAAUUCCAUGACAUUUUUUACUAAUUGGUUAAAAUUGCACUGUUACAAAUUAUUAGAGGCCCACAUUUAAUGAAUAAUUUGCCUCUAAACUUCUCCAUUGCAACAUUAACAAAAUGAAAAUUAUGAAUGCCCUUUGCAAAACAUUUCAUCUGUAACUGUCGUUUAUGAUACAUGAAAAAUCCUUGAAGGGCAAAGACAGAUUCUGAGUCUUACACACACUUUGCAAUUGACUGCCAAUUGUGGUGCUUAACCUUCUGCAGGAAGAAAUCAACAAAUGGCCAUUCAUUGUACAGAAAGAAGACAAUCCACAUAAAUCGGAGAACUAUCUGAUCAGCUUAGGCAACUGUGGAUUCCUUCCACAGCAAGCAGAGCCCAGCCUGGCUAUUCUGGGAUGGCUGCUCAUGAGCACAAAGGGGCUGACCGUGGGAAAACAGGCAGUGAUCAGUGCCAAGGUGUUCAACAGCCACCAACUGGGAUUAGGAAAAAGACGUGUAAAGAUGGAGGAGAGCGAGUAAAAUAACACAAGGUGCUCACCAGGACCAGGAUGCUUUGGGUGACUCUGGACUCAGGGGAGGAUCUGGGGGAGAGGUUGGUCCCAUGAAUGUGCUGGACCUGCUGCUUGAGCCUGUGCAGGAUAAAAACCAUGGAGCCACUGGCCAAGGCCAUGAGCCCCAAACACAAAACAUCAAGGGAUGAUAACAAGACAAUAUGUAAUGACUGUAGAAUUCUGCUCCUACCUCUUCCAGAACAAUACUUAUAAUCAUUUGUCUUUGUGCUAUUUAUGCUGUUCCACUUGCCAGUCACAUGUAGAGGAACAGUAAUAUUUACCAGCGUGUUCAGAAUCCAGCACAGGACCAGGAUGUUGAAGGACCUGAUGUAUCUGGGAGCAUGUAGUUUAAGCUGUGCCCACCUGAAUUCGCUGGGGCUGAUGGUGAUGACCUGGAAGACACUCAGGAGGCAGGCAUUGCCAACGCACACAGCCCUGCCCACUCUGUGAACAUAAAACACAAGUUUGCAUCCAAUAUCACUGAGGGAAUCUUUCGACCCAAAAGCAGCCAUUGUUUGUGGGAUUCCUUUAGAGUAUAACCUAGGAGUUGGCUAUGGUCAGGUGCUUGAGAAUCAGAUCUGUGGACCAUAACAUACCUCUGGUGAAACAAAGGAAACUAUAGUGGUAAAGAAGAAAGAAAUUCCCCAGGAAUCCAACUAUGAUCUGAGAUAAGAAGAUCAUGCCUAUUGAAAAAUCCCUGGAGGCCAUUUGUCAUUUUUCAGUGUCUGAUAAUUACAUUCAAAGUGAGAGAACCCUGCGUGGAAACAUAAACUCUGUUUCACUUUUGCAAAUAAAAUCCACUAUUGUCCACUUAC